AUUGAACGCUGGCGGCAUGCCUUACACAUGCAAGUCGAACGGCAGCAUGGAGAGCUUGCUCUCUGAUGGCGAGUGGCGAACGGGUGAGUAAAGCAUCGGAACGUACCGUGUAGUGGGGGAUAACGUAGCGAAAGUUACGCUAAUACCGCAUACGCACUGAGGUGGAAAGCAGGGGAUCGUAAGACCUUGCGCUAUACGAGCGGCCGAUGUCAGAUUAGCUAGUUGGUAGGGUAAAGGCCUACCAAGGCGACGAUCUGUAGCGGGUCUGAGAGGAUGAUCCGCCACACUGGGACUGAGACACGGCCCAGACUCCUACGGGAGGCAGCAGUGGGGAAUUUUGGACAAUGGGGGCAACCCUGAUCCAGCCAUGCCGGGUGAGUGAAGAAGGCCUUCGGGUUGUAAAGCGCUUUCGGCCGGGAAGAAAUCGCACAGGCUAAUACCCUGUGUGGGUGACGGUACCGGCAUAAGAAGCACCGGCUAACUACGUGCCAGCCGCCGCCGUAA
rnacentral:rRNA from 1 species